UUCUUUUCUUUUUGUUGUCUAAAACAGAAAAAUCCCGAAACAGUCAGCUCACAAAGUUGCAGGUGAAGGUGCUGCCCACCCAUGAUGCCAGCAAGGUGCGUGCAAGUGGAUCCGGCCUUAAAACCACUGGAGUGCCCAGCUCUCUGCCAGUGAAGUUCAACAUUGCUGGCAAAGAUGCAGGACCCAGACGGGAAGCCCAAGAAGCAAAUAUCUGUGACAACC